AUUGAACGCUGGCGGCAGGCCUAACACAUGCAAGUCGAGCGGUAACAGAGAUAGCUUGCUAUCUGCUGACGAGCGGCGGACGGGUGCGUAACACGUAGGAAUCUACCCAGUAGCGGGGGAUAGCCCGGAGAAAUCCGGAUUAAUACCGCAUACGCCCUACGGGGGAAAGCAGGGGAUUCUUUCUUUGGAGAGAACCUUGCACUAUUGGAUGAGCCUGCGUCGGAUUAGCUGGUUGGUGGGGUAAAGGCCUACCAAGGCAACGAUCCGUAGCUGGUCUGAGAGGAUGAUCAGCCACACUGGGACUGAGACACGGCCCAGACUCCUACGGGAGGCAGCAGUGGGGAAUAUUGCACAAUGGGCGCAAGCCUGAUGCAGCCAUGCCGCGUGUGUGAAGAAAGGCUCUAGGGUUGUAAAGCACUUUCAGCGAGGAGGAAGGUCGUAAGUUAAUACCUUACAGCUGUGACGUUACUCGCAG
rnacentral:rRNA from 1 species